GUGGGGGUGGGGAUUCUGCCUGGCGUCUUGAAGCCAAAAGGGAGCUCACUUCAAAGUGAGAAGAAACUGUUUUCUGGAGCGAUUCCUAAUUAUACCGCCAGGACAAUGCUUGUCUCUGAACCAGCUCCCCGUGGGAAUGAGCUCGAAGGGAGAAAAAAAGCCUCAAAGAGGUGUCAGGCUACAAUCAGCCAGAGACAGACGCCAGGUGCGGAGAGCAGAAUGCUGAGACAUCUUCCGAAGUUUAUCGGAAGUUCCUACAAGAGCUAACGUUUAGCCCCGCAGUCACGAUUUAUGUUCCUGCACUGGGCACUGGGGACACAGCAGUGAGCAGGACAUGUAAAAGUCACAGAGCUGACACGGAGCCGGCACACGUUCCAGGGAACAGGAAUCUGGGCAGUCCCUUAGGUCUGCCCGGGGAAGAACACACGGCCCAGCUCUGACCAAUCGGCGUGUUCCAUCUUUCUGGCCACAAUGAUUGGCCAACUGGAAUGAGAGGCGAUCCCAGACUUCCCCAGGAAUCUUGAGUAAAAAGCAGCUCCUCUCCUGGUGUUGCUGUCACCUGAUGUACGCUACACCUGAGCUGUUGGUAGGCAUCUACCAUCUACCACCAGCAAGAGCGAGCGAGCUAGAGAAUGAAGCCAAUGCAAACGCAAACUGAUCUCCGAGAGCCCUGAUGGCAUCAUUCGUGUCCCUGCAUCCAGCCGUACCUGAGGUCACAGCAUCUGAUCCUUCAAUCGCUUGAAAACAGGGGUGUUUGGGGUUUUCUCUCUUUUUUUCAACCUCUUUAUGUUGGGUUUCUGUGUUGACUGAUAAGACAGCGAGAAGGCAUAGGAAAUGGGGUUUUCGAUGAGAAGCUGGAAAGAAGGUGAUGAAUUCCAAGAACCCCCAAUAGUUGGAUGGGUCUGGAGGGUAGAACUGUGUAAAAGGGAACGGGGGAUGAGUCUGAGAAGGUAGGCGGGGACUUAGAGAGCCUUGAACCCUAAGUGGAGGAGACCAACCUUCCUCCACAGCUUCCACAAGUUUCUAUUUUGACAUCAAAUCAUCAGCAAGCGUUCUGGGCAUCUUCGUGCUCAGUACUGUCCCCAGCCUGCAGGAAGCACAGAGCAGAUGGCCGUCUCCCUCAGGGAACCUGCAGUCUAAUUGGAAAACGACAAGGUAGAAGUGACUAUUUAUUCAACAGUCUGAGAGGUGCCGCACUGCAUGUGCACAGCUUUGUUCUUAUACAAAGCAGGUGUAAUACUGCCCACAUAUUUUAUCGCUACAUAAACUAGGGCUCAGAGAGAGAUGGAGUCACCUGCCUCAGCUCAAUGUCUCAAUAAACAACAGACUGCAUGUACAAUGCCGGCCCCACGAGGCUGAAAUGGGGCCAGAAAUUCCUGUCACCUGUGACGUCUGGCAUCUGUGUGCUGAUGCCAGCGUCAGACCCCAUGCCCUGCCCAUCACAAAGUAGAGCAGAUAGAGUUGCAUAAAGUGCAUUGUACUUGAGAGUGACAGCACACGGGCUUCGGUGGUUACUGUCCUACACCUUUUUAUCAUUCUUUUAUAGCCUGCUCCUUGUACUUCUAGAAAACAAAGCCUGCAGGACAACAGUCCUCGUCACGCAUAUGUGGCAUUGACUGCAUCACAAGGCCAUGUCAAGGGGCUGACCCCAGCCAUCUGGAUUUAAGUGUCCUCCUGAUGUUUGCACAACCGCAGAAGCCAUGAGGGACGUCUCUUGCAGAUUGUGCCUUAUCGCGCUCUGCUGUGGCCUGGGAAAGCAGUAGAAGAUGGCCCAAGCACUGAGCCCCUGCACCCACGUGGGAGGCCCAGAAGAAGCUCCUGGCUCCUGGAUUUGGAUCGGCAUAGCUCCGACUGUUGCAGCCAACUGGGGAGUGAACCAUCGGAUGGAAGACCUCUCUCUCUAUCUCUCCUCUCUCUGUGUAAGUGUGUACGUGUCCAAGUUACACAUAGAGAAAAGAGGCAGAGAAAGAGAGAAAGAGAGAAAGAGAGAAAGAGAGAAAGAGAGAGAGAGAGAGAGAGAGAGAGAGAGGUAGAGGUAGAAACAGAGAGAGAGGUCUUCCAUCUGCUGGUUCACUCCCCAAUUGGCUGCAACAGCUGGAGCUGGACCAAUCAGAAGCCAGGAGCCAGGAGCCUCCUCCGGGUCUCCCAUGCAGGGCACCAUCUUUGGCGUGACUGUGACGGCCUCCCGUCAGGGACUGUAAUCUUGACACCCUACUCCGGUUCCCAGUGAGUAGGGUUCUCCCCAUGGCGUGCACUGCUGGGGGUGCAUUUGCUUUGUGCUCUGGGAAGGGCAGAAAGGAGAUGAUCCUGAAACUCCCACAUUCCCAUACACUCUUAGAAUGGGCAUGCACAGAUCGCUCUCUGUGGAUGGGAAUUAGGCCCAAGUCCCCCGAAAUCCCACUUCCUGUCAGAAACCUCCCCUGGGCAUCCAAACUAGAGUCCCUCCCCUGGUCUCCGAAUACAAGAAACUGAGUCAUUUAGAGGGAGCAGGUCCUACAAGGUCACGUGUGAGUCCACAGGCACUUAAGUGCUGCAGCCACCGCGGACUCCAGCCUCCUCCUUCCCUCCCCCAGGCCAGGUCUCGCCAUGAGAUCCACUACUCUAACCACUGGAAGCCCACAGUGGCACUUUGACUGCCUUUGCAUCCUUAUGCACUCAUGGAUGGCAAAUAGUGGUGACGGCAUCAGUGUGACCUGGUCGUGGUGAUGUCUGGAAGGAACAGAGGGUCAUCAUGAUGUUGAGAAUGGGGCACAGAGGCAAUGUUGUGUUAAGAAGGAUGCAGAGGGGGCCGGCACCGUGGGGCAGUAGGUUAAUCCUCUGCCUGCAGCGCUGGCAUCUCAUAUGGGCGCUGGUUCUGGUCCCCGCUGCUCCUCUUCCAAUCCAGCUCUCUGCUGUGGUCUGGGAAAGCAGUAGAAGAUGGCCCAAGUCUUUUGCCCCUGCACCCAACUGGGAGACCAGGAAGAAGCUCCUGGCUCCUGGCUUCAGAUUGGCACAGCUCUGGCCAAUGUGGCCAUCUGGGGAGUGAACCAACAGAAGGAAGACCUUUCUCUCUGUCUCUCCCUCUCACUGAUUGUGGCUCUAUCUCUCAAAUAAAUAAAUAAAAUCUUAAAAAAAAAAAAAAAGGAUGCAGAGGGUCGUCAUUAUGCUGAGAAAGGAACAGAGAACGCUGACUGAUUAUCAGUGGCUGUCGUGGGUACAGAACGGAGAGUGGCAUCACAUCUUUGGCUCCUUCUAGAAGCUUCCUUCAGCUAUAUUCCAGGACUUUCCACAUUAAAUUACCGCUGUAUGUUUGUGUGUGACAGUCUCUCCCAUUGCUGAGUUGCUGGAGGUCAGAAAUUGUGCUUGCUCAUAUCCCGGCUGCUCCAUUUUUAAUCCAGUUCCCUGCUCAUGGUCUUGGAAAAGCAGCAGAGAAUGGCCCACGUGCUUGGGGCCCUGCACCCACGUGGAACCUGGAACAGGCUCCUGGACCCCAACUUCGGCCUCGCUCAGCCCUGGCUGUUGCGGCCAUCUAGGGAGCAAACCAGUGGAGGGAAGAUUUUCUCUCUCUCUCUCUCUUGGUCUCAUCCUCCCUCUUUAUAACUCUGACUUUCAAAAUGAUUGAACCCAGCCAAUGAACAUGUUCAUCACCUCCCCUACGUACCAUUUUUUGCAGUAAGAACGUUGAACAUCUAUUCUUCUAGCCAUUCUGAAAGAUACCAUACAUUAUCAUUAGCUGCUGUCACCAUGCCGUGCACUAGAUCACGGCAACUUACUCCUCCUGUCUGCAUCUUUGUGCCUUUUGGCUGACUUUGCCAUUUUCCCCGUUCCCCGCUGUUUGGUGUGGCUCGCCAUUUCUACAGCGUGCUUCUCACGCAAGUUCCGAUGCACUGACAGCCACCACACACGUGCUGAAGACAGAUCAGUCACCUGGGGCACAAGCGUGCCAGGUCUCGCCUGCCUCAUCACCAGGAUUUCAUCACGCCAGGAAGUGUCACAUUCCCGUCUGCCUGACUUGGGAGCAGAGUGUCACCCAACCAUAGGUCCAUGCUGUUAUUGAUAUCUUCUUGUGACUACAGAAUAGAAGAAUGAGUCUGGAACGGGCCAGAUAUGGUCAGGUGACUCCUCUGUGAAGGCCUCUUCCUAAGUGCAUUACCACGGCUCACGUGACUCUGGAUUUAUGAGCUCCGGUUUGGAGCUGAGCACACUUGGAUUGAAAGCUCAGCUCAACCACGUGCUGGGUUUGAACAUGCGAACUUAAACCACCCAGGUCUUAUUUACUGGUGAAAUGGCGGCAGCCAGCGGCCACCUGGCCAUGGCAAGAACCAUGUGACACAGCAUAAGCUAAACCCCUCGCACAGAGUCACCCUACACUAAGUGCACAGGAAACAGGAGUUUCCUAAACUUUCCUCCCAGCCAGCACAGGCCGUCUCGGUUUCUGUGUUGAGGUGCCACGGUAUGCAAUGCCCAGAAAUCCCCACCCAAGGGUGAAGGAGCGUCUGCUUUCUGUCUUAAUCAGGGUUCCCCAGACAACAGAUUCUGCAGCAAAAGCACCGUAUGCUGAUGCUGUCCCAGGAAGGUGAGCCCAGGGGGCGGGUGAAAGAAGGGGUGAGACAGGUGCGCUAGGGAGCAGACGGCUGUGGGUCAGGCUGGCAGCUUCAGCAGCUCAGAUGUUUGUAGAGGACCUGAGUCUUGGACGGGGGUGGUGGCGGGGGGAAUAAUCUACCGUCCGGUUCUCAUCACUUGUGGUCAGAGUGCCCUCCAUGGCUGUCAACUCCGCCAUAUGCGCGGAUUUCCCACGGGUGGGUAGCAAUUGGCCCCCACGCUGCCUUGUGCCUCGGUGGGGCAGGGAAGUUCUAGGGCAGAGGAAAAGUGCUUCCGGGUCAUUUCCACGAGUGGCAUAAGGCCCAGAGCAGUUGUCACAGCAGGAGUAACCAUAGCAAGGGUCCUGGCCACAACCACUGUGUCUAAGAUGAUGGCAUGUGCUGUUCUAAGCCCCUCUGGCCAGAAAGUGAGGCGGGUGCAGAGUUCAUGAAAAGCACACGACGUGCGCCUGACGCACCUUCCAGCCAGGUGAGAGCCCAGAUUCACCUCUUUAACAUUCACAACCAAAGGUCAACGGGCCACCUGCCUAUCUGUAUCUAAAACAGACUCACUGCUGGACUGCCCGUCUCAGAAUGAACGUGCUCUCCUGGGCUUCAGGGAGUGUAUGGCUCUCCAUGGCCACUCAACGUCCUGCUGGGGACCACAACGGGCCCUGCUGGGUGUCCUGGGCUCUUUGGUGUAGGAGGCUGCUUCCUGAGAGCCCAUCACCUCAGCCCCCUGCACAGCUGUCCAUCAGCAGAGGCGUGUCACCGCGAGACCCUGAGCUUUCCAUCAAAGAGCUCCAAGAAAAGACACGGCCAGGCCACGUCUGUUCUUGCUUCUGCAGGUUUUAUUUAGAAUGUUGAAUCAGGGUAUUCGGUGUCCCCUAUGUAAAUCCAUUUUAGUUCAUUCACGUAUUGUGAGACUACAUAUUUAGGGAAUCAGCAAGAAAAAGACAACCUAGGGGCUGGCACCAUGGCAUAGUGGGUAAAGCCACCAAAUGCAGCGCUAGCAUCCCAUAUGGGUGCUGGUUCAAGACCCAGCUCCACUUCUUAUCCAGCUCUCUGCUGAUGGUCUGGGAAGGCAGUGGAAGUGCUUGGGCCCCUGCACCCAUGUGGGUGACCCGGAAGAAGCUCCUGGCUCCUGACUUCAGAUCGGUCAGCUCCGGCCAUUGCAGCCAUUUGGGAAGUGAACCAGCAGAAGAAAUGUCGCUCCCCCUCUUCAUGGAGGAACGACACUAAGCCCUGCCUAGGCUUCAUAUCCGAGUCACGGCACCAUUAUGUCGCUCCCCGUCUUCGUGGAGGAACGACACAGGACCCUGCGCUGUUCUUUCGUCUGCUCGGCCCUUCCCGGGUUUGCUGCUGGUUCUUCCCGGGUUGGCUACUGUCCCUUCCACCUCCGUGGAAGGGCGGUUCCCCCUGCCACAUUCCCCACCUCCGCAGGGGAGCGGCACACCGCCGGCCGGCUCUCUCAGGGGCUGCACAGGUGUUCCCCUUAGAUGUUCCCCUUAGAUGUUCCUGGUGCAUGCCGUCUCUCUCCUCCUUUAUAGUCCUCCUCCGCCAAUUCCAACUCGGCUGCCCACACGCCGAGUACGCUGCUCUCCUCCAACCAGGAGCAGGUCCUACAGCCUAUUGGUUGAACUGGAGGCAGCUGCGCAGAAGCUGUUUUCUCCUCUCCCAGCGCCAUAUUGUGGGAGAGCAGAUGCAUAGAAUAAGUCUUAAUUCCAGUAACUUCGUCUAGUCCAAGUUGCUCCCCACAAGAAAGACUUCUCUCUCUGUCUCUGCCUCUCUGUAACUCUGCCUUUCAAAUAAAUAAAUAAAUCUUUAAAAAAAAGAAAAAAGAAAUUCUAGCUUAAAAAAAAGACCUUGCAAACAGCUCUUACAUAUUUGAAAAGAUGCUCAAUCUUCCAUACAUAAGAGAAGAGCAAAUUAAAACUACACUGGAAUAUCCUUUUUCCCAUCAGCCAGGCAAAAAUCCAAGAGGUAAAUGAUGCGUUUUGUUGGUGAGGCCACGGGGAAAUAGGUAAUUCUCAAACCCCUCUGCUGGGAGUGUAAUUUGACAACAUCUAUCAAAAUUAUGAACGCAUAUAUUUUUUGACACAGCAAUUCCUCUCCUGAGAUUUUAUUCUACAGAGAUGCUUGGACUGGUGCAAAAUGAUGUAUGAAACAGGAUUAAUCACUGCAGAAUUAUAAGAGCUAACUACUGGUAACAGCCUGAAUGCUCUGAAUGGGAGAUCAGCAUAUCCAAACAACAUAGUAUACAGUGUUUAAAAACUAUAAUGAGAUUUGCUGAUAUAGCAGGAUCUUCAUCCAGAAGGGAUGCUGUUACCAUGAUAAUGCUGCCUCAUAAAUCUCCCAAGCCUUAAAAUAAAGCCAUUGACUCAUCCUCAGACCCAUGGAUCUGAGAGCUGGUUGGGGUUCUGCAACCUAUGGCUGGGCUCAGCAGGACGGCUCUUCUCCGGGCUGCGAGCCCUUGGUCCGGUUGAGCCUGUUUGUUCCUCACUCAAGAUCCAGGAGGUAGGAGCAACAGUUAGCUAAGGCAGGCUUUUCUCAUAGUGGGUUUUGGAGCACAAGACAUGAUACCCAUCACACCAAAACAUUUCAAGACUCUAACAUCCUGUCAGCUAACAUCCAUUGGCCAAGACAAGUCACAUGACAAACCCCAAAGGCAAAGGUGAGGAAGAACAUUCUACCCAUCACAAGUCAUGGCAAGGGUGGGAGUGAGGAAUUGGGACCUACAAUUCAACCUAACAUUACAUACACACAUGUGUGUAUAUAUAUGUGUAUACACAUGUCAUAAGAGGGGGGUCUUCAGAAACUUCACGAAAAUGCAUGCUAUGAAAAACUAUGCAUGGAUUCCAAGACAAUUUUAAAGGUACAGGGUUGUGGUGCAGCAGGUUAAGCCACUGCCUGCAGCACCGGCAUCCCAUAUGGGCACCAGUUUGAGUCCUGGCUGUUCCACUUCCAAUCCAGCUCCCUGCCAAUAUGCCUGGGAAAGCAGCAGAGGAUGGCCCAAGUCCUUGGGCCCCUGUACCCACAUGGGAGAUGCAGAUGAAGCUCCUGGCUCCUGGCUUCAGUCUGGCCCAGCCGCAGCCAUGGUGGCCAUUUGGGGAGUGAAUCAGCUAAAUGGUUCUCUCAACCCUGGCUGCCACCAGAACCACCUUCCACCUCCGCUCACAGAGAUCCUGAUAUGAUUGGAUUGGAGCAGAGGCUGGCAUGGAGAUUUUAAAGGGUCUCAUGUGAUUUCAGCACGAAUCUGAGAUGGAGAAUAACGACCAUAGUAAGAGGAGACAGAUUUUUUUUUUGACAGGCAGAGU